AUGGAUGAUGAUCUUUAUAUGAUGAUCGAUAGUCCCUCUGAGACUAAACAAGAUUUUCUAUCAUGUCUUACCAAUGAUACGGAGGAUAAAAGGACUUCUUUGGGUUGCAAUGAUGUACAGAGUUCAAAUAUGAUGUCGCAAAUACUACCUUCAAAUUCUGAGAAUAUUCCACCAAGUAAAGAAGCCAAUAUUAAUGACCAAAUUGGUGAGUUUACAUUUGAAGGAACAUCAUCCUCUUCAGUAUGGGGAAUGAUUUCUUCUGCUAUGGUGGAAGCUUGUGAAAAAAUGUACAAGGAACAUGGGCAUCUGGUAUUCUGAUGCACACACAACAGCGAAUAUCAUUUAUUAAACAAGGGGAGUGGAUGUCAGAACUUUGAUGGUCCUUACGCUCCCUUAACUAGAUUUUGCUCAUCCAAUGGCCCCAGUAUACCACGAGUUACAGAAAAGAAGAAUGAUGUGGAAUCUACUUAUACAUUACUGAAGAAUUGGUUAUACCAUGAUAGAAUUGGGCUUGAUUUGGAAUUUGUUCAAGAAAUUGUGGAGUCUCUUCCUAGAUCCAGGUCUUGCGUAAACUACCAGUUCUUGUGCAAUAGGGCAGAAUUUCAUUCUUCUGUAACAGUUGCAAGUGGUUUACUUUUAUCUGUGUAUAAAGAUGAUCAAAGUAAUGGGGAUACGCCAUAUGGUAGACAUGGUGGGGUGACUGGGCUACACGAUCAUGCUCAGCCCAGCGGUUCUAGCAUCCGCAAGCUACCUCCGGGACGUCCUAUUAGCCAUAAGCUUCAACCAGAAUCGGCAGCAGAUGUUUUCCAGGUAGCUCUUCACAUAUUUGUCACUGUUUCUGCUAUUUGA
rnacentral:rRNA from 1 species